UACGAAGGGGGCUAGCGUUGUUCGGAUUUACUGGGCGUAAAGCGCACGUAGGCGGAUCGUUAAGUCAGGGGUGAAAUCCUGGGGCUCAACCCCAGAACUGCCUUUGAUACUGGCGAUCUCGAGUCCGGAAGAGGUGAGUGGAACUCCUAGUGUAGAGGUGGAAUUCGUAGAUAUUAGGAAGAACACCAGUGGCGAAGGCGGCUCACUGGUCCGGUACUGACGCUGAGGUGCGAAAGCGUGGGGGAGCAAACAGG
rnacentral:rRNA from 1 species